AUCAAUUGAUCAUUAUUUCUGGGGAGGAGGACUUUGUGGUUAGUCACCUUUCAUCCUUCAGAUAUAUCGAGGCUGAUGAGGACGCUUAGGAAACUUCAAUCCAAGCUCUUGAAAUAGCCAAUGCCACUUUUGUGGAGAUGAAGGACCUAGUUGGGAAAGCUUGUUCAUCUUUCGCUUCUCUAAAAAGUGCAAAGUCUAGC
rnacentral:lncRNA from 1 species